rnacentral:rRNA from 1 species
UGCGGUAAUUCCAGCUCCAAUAGCGUAUAUGUAAAUUGUUGCGGUUGAAAAGCUCGUAGUUGGACUUCUGGCGACCGCGGUCGGUCCGCCUCCGUGCGAGCACUGACCGCGGCCGUCGUUUCUGUCGACGGUGCGCGUCGGGCUUCACUGGUCGGUGCGUUCUCUGUCGGCGACGUUACUUUGAGGAAAUCAGAGUGCUUAAGGCAAGCGUUCGCUCGUGACUUCACUAGCAUGGAAUAACACAGAUGGGCUCUUUCUCGCAAUGUUGGUCUGCGUCAAUUGAGCAACGAUCGAUAGAGACGGUCGGGGGCAUUCGUAUUGCGCAGUUAGAGGUGAAAUUCUCCGAUCUGCGCAAGACGCACUAAUGCGAAAGCAGUUGCCAAGGACGUCCUCUUAUGAUCAAGAGCGAAAGUCGGGGGAUCAAAGAUGAUUAGAUACCGUCGUAGUCCCGACCAUAAAUGAUGCCGACUGAGCGUCGGCGACUCGGCUCUUGGCCGAACGUCGGCGCUCUUGAGAGAAAUUAAAGUCUUUGGGCUCCGGGGGUAGUAUGGUCGCAAGGCUGAAACUU